rnacentral:RNase_MRP_RNA from 1 species
UUCGCAGUGCGCACACGGGGAGCUUGCUCCUAGAGAUGCUGCGAGGAAAGUCCCCGUGCCUCGGUGCAGAGAGUGCGAGUUGGAGACCGC